GAUGAACGCUAGCGACAGGCUUAACACAUGCAAGUCGAGGGGCAGCAUGAAGUAGCAAUACUUUGAUGGCGACCGGCGAAUGGGUGAGUAACACGUAUGCAACCUGCCUUCAAGAGGUGAAUAGCCCGGCGAAAGUCGGAUUAAUGCGCCAUAAAACAGGGGUUCCGCAUGGGACUAUUUGUUAAAGAUUAAUUGCUUGGAGAUGGGCAUGCGUUCCAUUAGGCAGUUGGCGGGGCAACGGCCCACCAAACCGACGAUGGAUAGGGGUUCUGAGAGGAAGGUCCCCCACAUUGGUACUGAGAGACGGACCAAACUCCUACGGGAGGCAGCAGUGAGGAAUAUUGGUCAAU
rnacentral:rRNA from 1 species